CCCAGCGGUGUCACCAGAUACUUUGUUCUCUAAGACCAGAAUGUAUGCUGUUGAGUUUUCUUCAGAAGGUGGACAGCCGGGACACAGAUCUCUGUGUAUGCAUUAAUGAAGCUAAACAAGUGUUGUGAAGUUAAAUAAGAUGACACUUCUCUUCGAAGGUUGGUAAAAAGCUUAUCAGCAUUUAAGAGUCAGCACAGGCACUAAUUCUCUCAGCCUGCAAAUAUGACCAUCUUUCAUUUAUUGAUUCAAAAAUAAUGUCCUUCCUAAAGCUGGAGGUAAAUAUGUAUAAAAUCGUCUGUGAGGACCAGCUCUGUGACACAGAGAUAAUGCACUGCUGAGGAGAAGCUGGAUCCUACAAGGUCCUGUUUUGGGGAAGAAGUGACUUUACUUUGAGGUUAGGGGAAAAAGUCAAAGUGUGGUGAGCCCAGCUUCCCGUAGAAAGGUUUUUGGCCUUGAUGAAGAUUACAGUAGCGAGUUACCCCAGGGAGUCCUCCAUGAUGAAGACGAUGUGUUUGGGCUGCUGUGUGAGGUUAGAGGCAUCCCUCAGACCCAGUGUCAAGUCAUCUCUAUAUCCUCUCUAGGAUUGGCCUGACCUCUAAAUAGAUGCCUUCUCUCUUUUGUCCCUAGA